GCCCGGCUGGCGUAAUGGUUAACGCGUAAGGCUUCUACUACGUAUGUGAGUGACCUUAAGAUUGCGAGUUCGAGUCUCGCGUCGGGUU